UACGAAGGGGCUAGCGUUGCUCGGAAUCACUGGGCGUAAAGCGCACGUAGGCGGCUUUCUAAGUCAGGGUGAAAUCCUGGAGCUCAACUCCAGAACUGCCCUUGAUACUGGAAAGCUUGAGUUCGGGAGAGGUGAGUGGAACUGCGAGUGUAGAGGUGAAAUUCGUAGAUAUUCGCAAGAACACCAGUGGCGAAGGCGGCUCACUGGCCCGAUACUGACGCUGAGGUGCGAAAGCGUGGGGAGCAAACAGGG
rnacentral:rRNA from 1 species